AACGAACGCUGGCGGCAUGCCUAACACAUGCAAGUCGAACGAGACCUUCGGGUCUAGUGGCGCACGGGUGCGUAACGCGUGGGAACCUGCCCUUAGGUUCGGAAUAACUCCCCGAAAGGGGUGCUAAUACCGGAUAAUGUCUUCGGACCAAAGAUUUAUCGCCUUUGGAUGGGCCCGCGUUGGAUUAGCUAGUUGGUAGGGUAAAAGCCUACCAAGGCGACGAUCCAUAGCUGGUCUGAGAGGAUGAUCAGCCACACUGGGACUGAGACACGGCCCAGAAUCCUACGGGAGGCAGCAGUGGGGAAUAGUGGACAAUGGGCGAAAGCCUGAUCCAGCAAUGCCGCGUGAGUGAUGAAGGCCUUAGGGUUGUAAAGCUCUUUUACCCGGGAUGAUAAUGACGGUACCGGGAGAAUAAGCUCCGGCUAACUCCGUG
rnacentral:rRNA from 1 species